rnacentral:rRNA from 1 species
GUGACCUCAAAUCAGGUAGGACUACCCGCUGAACUUAAGCAUAUCAAUAAGCGGAGGAAAAGAAACUAACAAGGAUUCCCCUAGUAACUGCGAGUGAAGCGGGAAAAGCUCAAAUUUAAAAUCUGACAGUCUUUGGCUGUCCGAGUUGUAAUCUAGAGAAGUGUUAUCCGCGCUGGACCGUGUACAAGUCUCCUGGAAUGGAGCGUCAUAGAGGGUGAGAAUCCCGUCUUUGACACGGACUACCAGGGCUUUGUGAUGCGCUCUCAAAGAGUCGAGUUGUUUGGGAAUGCAGCUCAAAAUGGGUGGUAAAUUCCAUCUAAAGCUAAAUAUUGGCGAGAGACCGAUAGCGAACAAGUACCGUGAGGGAAAGAUGAAAAGAACUUUGGAAAGAGAGUUAAACAGUACGUGAAAUUGCUGAAAGGGAAACGCUUGAAGUCAGUCGCGUUGUCCAGGGAUCAACCUUGCUUUUGCUUGGUGCACUUUCUGGUUGACGGGUCAGCAUCAAUUUUGACCAUUGGAAAAAGAUUAAGGGAAUGUGGCAUCUUUGGAUGUGUUAUAGCCCUUGGUUGCAUACGAUGGUUGGGAUUGAGGAACUCAGCACGCCGCAAGGCCGGGUUUUAACCACGUACGUG